UUCCUCUCCUUCCUCCCCACACACACGCGCAUCCAGCCGAGAGAUUGAGAGAGAUGAUACCGUGAGAGAGAGACCGUGAUGGAGAGGAAGAGCUGAAGGUCUGGGUCAGGAGAAACCCGAGAUUUGUGGGAGACACAACGACCCAUUGAACCCGAGAGAGAGCUGAAGGAGAUUUGGACUUAUUGGAGGCACGAUCUCCGGUGAAAUGAAGCGAUUUUCGGUGAAAAUCAAUGGGGAUUUCCGGUUAUUUCUUGUGAAGCCUUCAAAGGGUCGUGUCAUAAUUGGAGACUUCAAUGGGUUCUUCAAUGUAGAGUUGGAGUCGUGAGUCCAAUGCAGCCAGAUGAUGUUCCUCUGGCUGCAGGUACUCCGGUCGUAGUGAUGAUGUUAUAGAUGUGCACGUGGGAUAUUAUGACCAAAGCUCGCCGCGACAGUCGUAAUUGCAAGACCAUGGGUGUCUUCAGUUUUAUAGGUUUUGUUAUGGUUUGUGACGCUUGUGUCACCUAAUCUAUGUCAAGCCAUUUCUGUUAUGUAUUUGUUAUAUUGAGGAAAGACUUAAACAGAUAGAUGUUAAAUGGCUCUUGUUGUAAUUAAUUGGUGAUAGAUGUUUGAGACAUGAUUUCCUCUAUUAGAUUUAUGUUUUCCGUUGCAUAGUUAGAUAAAUGUCAUACUUUGA